GUACACACCGCCCGUCGCUAYUUACCRAUUGAGUGUUAAGGUGAACCUUCUCGAUAGAGCAAUCYAARAAUUAAGUAAACCUUGACACUUAGAGGAAAUAAAAGUCGUAACAAGGUUUCCGUARGUGAACCUGCAGAARGAUCA
rnacentral:rRNA from 1 species